rnacentral:piRNA from 1 species
UGCCAAGGAAAAAUUACAAAAAGCCCCAGA